AGUCAAAAGCAAAAAGCAAAAACGUAGCGUGAAUGUAUGUGCUUCAUGGUACUAGAGAUAGUGUGUGAAGAGCAAACCACAACACUGAGACACAGACACAGAGGAAGGAGGAGGGUUUAUGUGAUGCUAUGACUAUGAAGUGAACAAAGUGAAGACAUCAUUUCACCAGCUGUUAAGAUGGAGGACACAUCUCUACUGUGGCUACUCUUUCUGACCUCACUGCUGAGCAGCACAACAAACCAAGCCUCUCUGACUGUGAGUCCCAGCAGAUCUCAGAUGUUUAAAGAUGAAUCUGUCUC